rnacentral:rRNA from 1 species
CGGUGAUGCUAGAGCUUGCUCUGGUUGAUCAGUGGCGAACGGGUGAGUAACACGUGAGUAACCUGCCCUUGACUCUGGGAUAACUCCGGGAAACCGGGGCUAAUACCGGAUACGAGACGCGACCGCAUGGUCGGCGUCUGGAAAGUUUUUCGGUCAAGGAUGGACUCGCGGCCUAUCAGCUUGUUGGUGAGGUAAUGGCUCACCAAGGCGUCGACGGGUAGCCGGCCUGAGAGGGCGACCGGCCACACUGGGACUGAGACACGGCCCAGACUCCUACGGGAGGCAGCAGUGGGGAAUAUUGCACAAUGGGCGAAAGCCUGAUGCAGCGACGCCGCGUGAGGGAUGAAGGCCUUCGGGUUGUAAACCUCUUUCAGUAGGGAAGAAGCGAAAGUGACGGUACCUGCAGAAGAAGCGCCGGCUAACUACGUGCCAGCAGCCGCGGUAAUACGUAGGGCGCAAGCGUUGUCCGGAAUUAUUGGGCGUAAAGAGCUCGUAGGCGGUUUGUCGCGUCUGGUGUGAAAACUCAAGGCUCAACCUUGAGCUUGCAUCGGGUACGGGCAGACUAGAGUGUGGUAGGGGUGACUGGAAUUCCUGGUGUAGCGGUGGAAUGCGCAGAUAUCAGGAGGAACACCGAUGGCGAAGGCAGGUCACUGGGCCACUACUGACGCUGAGGAGCGAAAGCAUGGGGAGCGAACAGGAUUAGAUACCCUGGUAGUCCAUGCCGUAAACGUUGGGCACUAGGUGUGGGGCUCAUUCCACGAGUUCCGCGCCGCAGCUAACGCAUUAAGUGCCCCGCCUGGGGAGUACGGCCGCAAGGCUAAAACUCAAAGGAAUUGACGGGGGCCCGCAC